rnacentral:rRNA from 1 species
CUACGGGACGCUCCAGUGGGGAAUAUUGCACAAUGGGGGAAACCCUGAUGCAGCAACGCCGCGUGGAGGAUGACGCAUUUCGGUGUGUAAACUCCUUUUAUAUGUCAAGAAAAUGACGGUAGCAUAUGAAUAAGCACCGGCUAACUCCGUGCCAGCAGCCGCGGUAAUACGGAGGGUGCAAGCGUUACUCGGAAUCACUGGGCGUAAAGGACGCGUAGGCGGGUUGGAAAGUCAGGUGUGAAAUCCUACAGCUUAACUGUAGAACUGCACUUGAAACUUCUAAUCUAGAGUAUGGGAGGGGGAGAUGGAAUUAGUGGUGUAGGGGUAAAAUCCGUAGAUAUCACUAGGAAUACCUAAAGCGAAGGCGAUCUCCUGGAACAUUACUGACGCUAAGGCGUGAAAGCGUGGGGAGCAAACAGGAUUAGAUACCCGCGUAGUC